rnacentral:rRNA from 1 species
AAUUGAAGAGUUUGAUCAUGGCUCAGAUUGAACGCUGGCGGCAGGCCUAACACAUGCAAGUCGAACGGUAACAGGAAGAAGCUUGCUUCUUUGCUGACGAGUGGCGGACGGGUGAGUAAUGUCUGGGAAACUGCCUGAUGGAGGGGGAUAACUACUGGAAACGGUAGCUAAUACCGCAUAACGUCGCAAGACCAAAGAGGGGGACCUUCGGGCCUCUUGCCAUCGGAUGUGCCCAGAUGGGAUUAGCUAGUAGGUGGGGUAACGGCUCACCUAGGCGACGAUCCCUAGCUGGUCUGAGAGGAUGACCAGCCACACUGGAACUGAGACACGGUCCAGACUCCUACGGGAGGCAGCAGUGGGGAAUAUUGCACAAUGGGCGCAAGCCUGAUGCAGCCAUGCCGCGUGUAUGAAGAAGGCCUUCGGGUUGUAAAGUACUUUCAGCGGGGAGGAAGGGAGUGAAGUUAAUACCUUUGCUCAUUGACGUUACCCGCAGAAGAAGCACCGGCUAACUCCGUGCCAGCAGC